AGAGUUUGAUCCUGGCUCAGGAUGAACGCUGGCGGUAUGCCUAACACAUGCAAGUCGAACGGGGUAGCAAUACCAAGUGGCGGACGGGUGAGUAACGCGUGAGAAUGUGCCUUCAGGAUGGGGAUAGCAGUGGGAAACCAGUGGUAAAACCCGAUGUGCCGAGAGGUAAAAAAUGAAAAUUGCCUGAAGAGGAGCUCGCGUCUGAUUAGCUAGUUGGUGAGGUAAAAGCGCACCAAGGCGACGAUCAGUAGCUGGUCUGAGAGGAUGAGCAGCCACACUGGGACUGAGACACGGCCCAGACUCCUACGGGAGGCAGCAGUGGGGAAUUUUCCGCAAUGGGCGAAAGCCUGACGGAGCAAUACCGCGUGAGGGAGGAAGGCCUUUGGGUUGUAAACCUCAAAACUUAGGGAAGAAGAAAGUGACGGUACCUAAUAUAAGCAUCGGCUAACUCCGUGCCAGCAGCCGCGGUAAUACGGAGGAUGCAAGCGUUAUCCGGAAUUAUUGGGCGUAAAGAGUCCGUAGGUGGAACUUCAAGUCUGCAGUCAAAGACCAGAGCUUAACUCAGGAAAGGCAGUGGAAACUGAAGAACUAGAGUGUGGGAGGGGUAGAGGGAAUUCCCAGUGUAGCGGUGAAAUGCGUAGAGAUUGGGAAGAACACCAGUGGCGAAGGCGCUCUACUGGACCAAAACUGACACUGAGGGACGAAAGCUAAGGGAGCGAAAGGGAUUAGAUACCCCUGUAGUCUUAGCGGUAAACGAUGGAUACUAGGCGUAGCGCGUAAAGACUCGGGCUGUGCCGAAGCCAACGCGAUAAGUAUCCCCGCCUGGGGAGUACGCACGCAAGUGUGAAACUCAARGRAAUUGACGGGGACCCGCCACAAGCGGUGGAGUAUGUGGUUUAAUUCGAUGCAACGCGAAGAACCUUACCAAGACUUGACAUCCGGCGAAUCCGCUUGAAAAAGGGGAGUGCCUAAGGGAAGGCCGUGACAGGUGGUGCAUGGCUGUCGUCAGCUCGUGUCGUGAGAUGUUGGGUUAAGUCCCGCAACGAGCGCAACCCUCGUCCUUAGUUGCCAGCAGUAAGAUGGGGACUCUAAGGAGACUGCCGGUGAAAAACCGGAGGAAGGUGAGGAUGACGUCAAGUCAGCAUGCCCCCUACGUUUUGGGCUACACACGUACUACAAUGGUAAGGACAAAGGGAAGCGAACUCGAAAGAAGGAGCGAAUCUCAGCAAACCUUACCCCAGUUCAGAUUGCCGGCUGCAACUCGCCGACAUGAAGGAGGAAUCGCUAGUAAUCGCAGGUCAGCAUACUGCGGUGAAUCCGUUCCCGGGUCUUGUACACACCGCCCGUCACACCAUGGAAGUUGGUCACGCCCGAAGUCGUUACCCUAACCGUAAAAAGAAGGGGACGCCGAAGGUGGGACUAGUGACUGGGGUGAAGUCGUAACAAGGUAGCCGUACCGGAAGGUGUGGCUGGAUCACCUCCUUA
rnacentral:rRNA from 1 species